GCUAGAAAGGAAGAAAAGCUCUAAAGUGGAAUCGCCUUCCCCCGGAAGCUGUUGUAAACAUUAAAGGAUGUAUAUUCUCUACUGGCAGGACAUCAGUCCCAGCUUUGGAGUGAAUAGUCUAAGGAAGCCACUGGUAGAUACUAUGAUUGGCAGUGAAGAUUCCUAUAGAACGGAAAGUAUGUUAUCUGGAAACAGAAGACAAAUGAAUUUUUAAAAAUGAUCUUGGAAAAACAUCUGGAUGGAGGCCCAAAAUAAUAAAUCCCUACUAUAAUUGUUUUAGAACUUCAAAAAAAGAAGUCCAGAUACACUGACAAUCUUAGUUACUAUUCAAAUAUUGAUAAGUCAUUGAAAAAUAACUCAGAUUUACUUGUCUACCGAAACGUGCAAAACCAUGGGACAUACUUUAAAAGUAUGUCCCAUACUGACUUAAAGCCAGUUUCUAGACUUUUUGGUCAACCUAUUGACUUUUAGAAAUUCAGAGAGUAGGCUAGGCGUGAUGGCUCAUGCCUUUAGUUCCAGCACUUUGGGAGGCUGCGGCAGGCAGAUCACUUGAGGUCAGGAGUUUGAGACCAGCCUGGCCAACAUGGUGAAACCCCAUCUCUACUAAAAAUACAAAAAAUUAGCUGAGUGUGGUGGUACGUGCUUGUAAUCCCACCUACUUGGGAGGCUGAGGCAGGAGAAUCGCUUGAGCCUGGGAGGCAAAGGUUGCAGUGAGCUGAGAUCAAGCCACUGCACUCACUCCAGCCUGGACGAUAAGAGCGAAACUGCACCUCAAAAAAAAAAAAAAAAAAAAGAAUCCAGAGAGCUUUUGUACACAGGGAUGACAUAUGUGGGCUGGAAGAAGGUUUAUGUCUAAUAUCUUAUCAGUUCAAAAUGAAACUCCCAAAUUCCUACAAAUGUGUUUAAUGAUAUAAUCCAGUUCUUCAAUUCUCUUGAGACUCUCCCUGCAGUUAUGUCUCUGAAAAAGGAAUUUAACAGGAGAAUAAACAAACCACUCACCAUCCUAUUUCUAAAUAUAAAGAUUCUUCCAACCAGCCUGAUCUUGCAACUCAGGGUUAAGACUGGGGAUGAAAUAUUUGGCUUUAAGAAAUAAGAGAUGGCCUAAAUGGAUAUUUUGGAAAAAGUUAGCUAUUGAAGUGUUAUUUAAGGUAAGGGGGAAAAAAGGACAAACUCAUGCCUUCUGCAAUAUCCAUCCUAGUGGACAAUGAAUAGGGCUAUUGCUUUCUUUCCAAUACUCUGGGCCCACAUUUCAUCAUACUAAAAAGACAUAAUUAGUUUUCUUACCCAUGUCAAUGGAUAUUAGAUAUAACACAAGGAAAAUGAAAUUUGCUUCUAGACUCAAAAUCUGUUGACACUUAAAGUAUAAUUAUACUUUUUUAUUAAACUGUUAGAAUCAUCUAUGGAGAAAAAUGAGUUUUAGCUUCCAAUAAAGCUCUGCUCUUAUUAGAAAUCAUAUUGAGCAGUGAAACUACCAAUAUGGCAGUUGCUAUUCUAUUGUUUUAACAUGGCUCUACCUAUCCCAAUUGGAAUGUCUAAUUCAGAGACAUGAGUUAGAUUUUCAAAUUAAAUGAUUGUGAAUAGAGGUGAUUACAUUGAUGGCAUAUUCCCUAUUUAGGAAAUAUAAAAUACAUUCAUAAAGGCCUUACUUGGAUCAGGGGUACAGAUAUCAACUGGGAAUCUCUAAGGUAAUAAGUUUUCAUGAUGCGAUUUUAUUUUUUCAUUUUCCAAAUCUAAUUUUCAGUACUGAUAAUUGGACAAUUUUCAAGUAAGAGUCUGUUAAAUCCGUCAGUAAUAAAACUGAGUUUUAAGACUGAGGGCUGGGAAAGGAGACUUUAAAUAGCAAAGUCAGACAUAUCAAAAGAACUCAUUAUUCAAGAGUCCAGCUAUCUGCUGAAACUUCUGGGGGGCUAAUACUUGAAAAUCAAGGACUUUGUUUUUUCUAAGUUAAAAAUGGGGGAAAUGAAGUUAUAAUCUGCCAUUUCCACCUUACAUUUGGAAUUUAUUUAUUUUUUGAGACGGAGUCUUGUUCUGUUACCCAGGCUGGAGUGCAAUGGCGCGAUCUUGGCUCACUGCAACCUCCUGGGUUCAAGUCAUUCUCCUGCCUCAGCCUCCCAAGUAGCUGGGACUACAGGCAUGCACCACCAUGCCCGGCUAAUUUUAGUAUUUUUAGUAGAGACGGGGUUUCACCAUGUUGUCCAGGCUGACCUGAACUGAUCCGCCCACCUCAGCCUCCCAGAGUGCUGGGAUUACAGGCGUGAGCCACCGCGCCCGGCCACAUUUGAAAUCUCAAAUGGAGCAUAUGACACAUACUUUAUUCUUUUUUGUCUAUAUUUUCUUAAGGUAAAUGUGUUUUUUUUUUUUCUUUUUUCUUUUCUACAAACUA
rnacentral:lncRNA from 1 species